UCUAAUAUGGCAGAAUAGUGCAAUGGAUUUAAGCUUCAUAUAUAAAGACUUUUAAACUUUUAUUAGA
rnacentral:tRNA from 1 species